rnacentral:rRNA from 1 species
AGCUCCAAUAGCGUAUAUUAAAGUUGUUGCAGUUAAAAGCUCGUAGUUGGAUUUCUGGUGUGAGUGAUCAGUUCGACCUUAGGUGGAUACUUGAUCAUCUCAUACCAUCCUUGGGUCUAGCCUCGCUGGUAUUAAGUUACCGGCGUGUGCGAUGCCCAUCGUUUACUGUGAACAAAAUAGAGUGCUCUAAGCAGGCUUAUGCCGUUGAAUAUAUUAGCAUGGAAUAAUAAGAUAGGACUUUGGUGCUAUUUUGUUGGUUUGCGCAUCAAUGUAAUGAUAAAAAGGGACAGUUGUGGGUAUUUGUAUUUUGUGUAAGAGGUGAAAUUCUUAGAUUACAAAAGACAAACGAA